UGGUUUUUUUUUCUGUUUUGUUUUGUCUUGUUUUCUUUAACCAUGCUAGUAACACAAUGAUUCAGAUCUACUUGUGUAUAUAUAUAAUUUUUAUGUACAUAAACUACAUAGACCUUUACUGGAAAAAAUUGCAAAUGAGAUUCUAGAUGUUAAGUAGGAGAGGCAAAGCUGAAAUACAGCUUGCCUUUAUUAGCUUUUGUUGGAAGUAGCUGGGACCUCCCAGAGUGAAACAGUUAGUUAAACAUUAGCCAUUCAGGUACUAAGGACAGUUUAAAAAUAUCCUGACUGUAAAACUGAUGAAGCAAGAGCACGGUUCAUCUGUACUAGUUGACAUGUUGCAUAACAUAUGUUAAAGCUGAGUAUAAAGCCAGUACUUCUUUUUCACAGGGAAAAUGUCUAUGAAGAGAGCUUAUACGUCAUGCCAUACCAUGAGGAUUUGAAUAAGCUGCUCUUAAUAAACAUUUCUACAGGACUUCAUAUGCUAUUUAACCUGACUUGCAGUGUUUCUCAUCAGAAGCAACUUGAUUUUAGAAGUGGAAAGAGUGACUCCAUAAUGUAAGAUCCUUGGAAAAGGACCCAUCCUAUUUGGAUCAAAUAUGUGUAAUUUUGAUUCUGUAUCAAUAGCACUAAACUUC